UACAGAGGGGGCGAGCGUUGUUCGGAAUUACUGGGCGUAAAGGGCGCGUAGGUGGCCUGCUAUGUCGAACGUGAAAUCCCUGGGCUCAACCCAGGAACUGCGUCCGAAACUGGCAGGCUCGAAUCCGGGAGAGGGAUGCAGAAUUCCAGGUGUAGCGGUGAAAUGCGUAGAUAUCUGGAGGAAUACCGGUGGCGAAGGCGGCAUCCUGGACCGACAUUGACGCUGAACGGGCGAAAGC
rnacentral:rRNA from 1 species